AUUGCAACUAUAAAACCACCAUCAACUCCCUUAUAAAGUUAGUCUGCAAUAGAAUUUCAGUAAUAAUAAAAAAAAUAACAAAAAAUGAAGACUGUUAUAUUUGUCUCAAUUGCAUUAGUGUGCAUUUUUGGUGUUUCUAAUGGUCAAGGUGGUUGUCCAGAGAUCUGCCCUUUAAAUUAUGAUCCUAAAUGUGGUUUUAAUGGCAAUUGUUAUAAGCAAUUUUCCAAUGAUUGUGGUUUCGAAUCAGAAAAUUGUAGAAGCUCUGGAGCUUUCAAAAAAGUUAGUUUAGAGUUGUGCCAAAACAAUUCUAACAGAAAAUGUUAAAUAAUUUAAUGAAAAAUUUAAUUGAGCGAUCAUGCACCUACGUUUUUUUAACAAGUUUAAAAAAUUUAAAAAGACAAGAUGCUUGUUAAAAAAGAAUUUCGGCCGAAGUACCACAAAUCAAACUGCCGCAAACAAAAACCAAUUUAUGGGAAUAUUGUCUGAUGAACUGUGAAGAACCUUCAACAAAAAAAUAGUUAUUUAUAAACUUCUAAACAUCGGAAAUAUUAUUGACUCUUAUUAUGUGGGGAUUCACCAUAGCCAUACUUACCUUAAUGUAUUUAUUUUGUUAAUGUUUUGCGAAUAAUGAAAUGCUUGCAUAUAUACGAUGAUUGAUUGAUCAAUAAUUGUUAUUUCAAAAGUACUGAGUGGAGUUUUUACAAUUUAUAUUUUA